AUUGAACGCUGGCGGCAGGCCUAACACAUGCAAGUCGAACGGUAGCACAGAGAGCUUGCUCUCGGGUGACGAGUGGCGGACGGGUGAGUAAUGUCUGGGAAACUGCCUGAUGGAGGGGGAUAACUACUGGAAACGGUAGCUAAUACCGCAUAACGUCGCAAGACCAAAGAGGGGGACCUUCGGGCCUCUUGCCAUCAGAUGUGCCCAGAUGGGAUUAGCUAGUAGGUGGGGUAACGGCUCACCUAGGCGACGAUCCCUAGCUGGUCUGAGAGGAUGACCAGCCACACUGGAACUGAGACACGGUCCAGACUCCUACGGGAGGCAGCAGUGGGGAAUAUUGCACAAUGGGCGCAAGCCUGAUGCAGCCAUGCCGCGUGUAUGAAGAAGGCCUUCGGGUUGUAAAGUACUUUCAGCGGGGAGGAAGGUGCUGAGGUUAAUAACCUCAGCAAUUGACGUUACCCGCAGAAGAAGCACCGGCUAACUCCGUGC
rnacentral:rRNA from 1 species